rnacentral:rRNA from 1 species
ACAAGCGGUGGAGUAUGUGGUUUAAUUCGACGCAACGCGCAGAACCUUACCUAGACUUGACAUCCCGGGAUUUUCUGGAAACAGAGAAGUGCUUUAGCAAUAAAGAACCCGGUGACAGGUGCUGCAUGGCUGUCGUCAGCUCGUGUCGUGAGAUGUUGGGUUAAGUCCCGCAACGAGCGCAACCCUUGUCUUUAAUUGCCAUCAUUUAGUUGGGCACUUUAAAGAGACUGCCGGUGUUAAGCCGGAGGAAGGUGGGAUGACGUCAAGUCCUCAUGGCCUUUAUGCCCAGGGCUACACACGUGCUACAAUGGGUGGUACAAAGAGAUGCCAACUCGCGAGAGCGCGCCAAUCUCAGAAAGCCAUCCUCAGUUCGGAUUGGAGUCUGCAACUCGACUCCUAUGAAGUUGGAAUCGCUAGUAAUCGCGGAUCAGCACGCCGCGGUGAAUACGUUCCCGGGCCUU